UCACAGGUCAGCUGUGGGUUAUAAUUGAGUUAGGUAAUGUCCUUGUGGCUUUGAAACAGCAGAUCAUCAAGGAAAAUGUUAACAACUGCAACACAAUGCACUAAGAUCAGUCAUAAGUAACCAUAGUUUCAACUACUUUGUGUAGUGUUUCAUCUCUAAAGGUGAUAUUAAUUGUUAGUUUAAAUGUAGCUGUGUAAGUGUAUCGAAAUACAUAUAUAUUUAUAGAAAUAAGUUUUGUGGAUGAAUAGAUGCCGUUACACAUGCAGUUGCCUCAGUUGGUGCAAGUUUAAUCAACAUACAGUCAAGCUUUAGUUAUUCAGAAUGAAGAUGGAAGAAUCUAUUACAGGCGAAGCUGUGCAUACCCAGCUGCGAUGGAAACAGAAGUUAAAUCAUUACAACAAAGAAAAGAGUGGCUGUAGCUCCUACCUCAAGGCAUAGUGCGGUCUGGAAUUUGUCGGUUGGAGUCAGAGCUGCAUCACACCAGCCUUCCAACACCAUUGAGGAGAGAGCAAAAAGAUGAAGGAAUGGUUUGGGUCUGACAACUUUGUGCUACAGAGCAGCAGCUUCGCACGGAGCAGAAGGUGGUGACCCUUUCUUCAUAAAGGAGAAAUAUCUACAGGCAGAGCUCUGUAAAGGGCCUUCAACUUUUUCAUUCUUUUCUGCCACUUUCUGUAAUAUCUAGCUACCCUGAGGAAAUGUUUCAGAUUUCAUUUCUUUUGGAUUGUUUGUGAAAUGUAGAAAAACAGAUGUGCAAGUUAAGGUAGACUGUGGUAUGGGAGUCCUAUCUCUUGUUCAGCUGUGGUCCAGUCUCAUGGGAAGUGGGAUUUAUCAGUAAAUGCUACUAAACUGUACUAUAU
rnacentral:lncRNA from 1 species